UACGUAGGAUCCAAGCGUUGUCCGGAUUUACUGGGUGUAAAGGGUGCGCAGGCGGACUUAUAAGUCAGUGGUGAAAUCUCACAGCUUAACUGUGAAACUGCCUUUGAUACUGUAGGUCUUGAAUUAGGGAGAGAUUCGUGGAAUUCCGAGUGUAGCAGUGAAAUGUGUAGAUAUUCGGAAGAACACCAGAGGCGAAGGCAGCGAAUUGGCCCGUAUAUUGACGC
rnacentral:rRNA from 1 species